AUUGAACGCUGGCGGCAUGCUUUACACAUGCAAGUCGAACGGCAGCACGGGUGCUUGCACCUGGUGGCGAGUGGCGGACGGGUGAGUAAUACAUCGGAACGUGUCCAGAAGAGGGGGAUAACGCAUCGAAAGAUGUGCUAAUACCGCAUAUGCUCUGAGGAGGAAAGUAGGGGAUCGAAAGACCUUACGCUUUUGGAGCGGCCGAUGUCUGAUUAGCUAGUUGGUGGGGUAAGGGCCUACCAAGGCGACGAUCAGUAGUUGGUCUGAGAGGACGACCAGCCACACUGGGACUGAGACACGGCCCAGACUCCUACGGGAGGCAGCAGUGGGGAAUUUUGGACAAUGGGCGCAAGCCUGAUCCAGCAAUGCCGCGUGAGUGAAGAAGGCCUCGGUUG
rnacentral:rRNA from 1 species